GCAAGUCGAGGGGUAACGGGGUGCUUGCACCGCCGACGACCGGCGCACGGGUGCGUAACGCGUAUACAAUCUACCUUUUGCUGAGGGAUAGCCCAGAGAAAUUUGGAUUAACACCUCAUAGUAUAUAGAAUUGACAUCGAUUUUAUAUUAAAGGUUACGGCAAAAGAUGAGUAUGCGUUCUAUUAGCUAGAUGGUGUGGUAACGGCACACCAUGGCAACGAUAGAUAGGGGCCCUGAGAGGGGGAUC
rnacentral:rRNA from 1 species